rnacentral:rRNA from 1 species
UUGAACGCUGGCGGCAGGCCUAACACAUGCAAGUCGAACGGUAACAGGAAGAAGCUUGCUUCUUUGCUGACGAGUGGCGGACGGGUGAGUAAUGUCUGGGAAACUGCCUGAUGGAGGGGGAUAACUACUGGAAACGGUAGCUAAUACCGCAUAACGUCGCAAGACCAAAGAGGGGGACCUUCGGGCCUCUUGCCAUCGGAUGUGCCCAGAUGGGAUUAGCUUGUUGGUGGGGUAACGGCUCACCAAGGCGACGAUCCCUAGCUGGUCUGAGAGGAUGACCAGCCACACUGGAACUGAGACACGGUCCAGACUCCUACGGGAGGCAGCAGUGGGGAAUAUUGCACAAUGGGCGCAAGCCUGAUGCAGCCAUGCCGCGUGUAUGAAGAAGGCCUUCGGGUUGUAAAGUACUUUCAGCGGGGAGGAAGGGAGUAAAGUUAAUACCUUUGCUCAUUGACGUUACCCGCAGAAGAAGCACCGGCUAACUCCGUGCCAGCAGCCGCGGUAAUACGGAGGGUGCAAGCGUUAAUCGGAAUUACUGGGCGUAAAGCGCACGCAGGCGGUUUGUUAAGUCAGAUGUGAAAUCCCCGGGCUCAACCUGGGAACUGCAUCUGAUACUGGCAAGCUUGAGUCUCGUAGAGGGAGGUAGAAUUCCAGGUGUAGCGGUGAAAUGCGUAGAGAUCUGGAGGAAUACCGGUGGCGAAGGCGGCCCCCUGGACGAAGACUGACGCUCAGGUGCGAAAGCGUGGGGAGCAAACAGGAUUAGAUACCCUGGUAGUCCACGCCGUAAACGAUGUCGACUUGGAGGUUGUGCCCUUGAGGCGUGGCUUCCGGAGCUAACGCGUUAAGUCGACCGCCUGGGGAGUACGGCCGCAAGGUUAAAACUCAAAUGAAUUGACGGGGGCCCGCACAAGCGGUGGAGCAUGUGGUUUAAUUCGAUGCAACGCGAAGAACCUUACCUGGUCUUGACAUCCACAGAACUUUCCAGAGAUGGAUUGGUGCCUUCGGGAACUGUGAGACAGGUGCUGCAUGGCUGUCGUCAGCUCGUGUUGUGAAAUGUUGGGUUAAGUCCCGCAACGAGCGCAACCCUUAUCCUUUGUUGCCAGCGGUCCGGCCGGGAACUCAAAGGAGACUGCCAGUGAUAAACUGGAGGAAGGUGGGGAUGACGUCAAGUCAUCAUGGCCCUUACGACCAGGGCUACACACGUGCUACAAUGGCGCAUACAAAGAGAAGCGACCUCGCGAGAGCAAGCGGACCUCAUAAAGUGCGUCGUAGUCCGGAUUGGAGUCUGCAACUCGACUCCAUGAAGUCGGAAUCGCUAGUAAUCGUGGAUCAGAAUGCCACGGUGAACACGUUCCCGGGCCUUGUACACACCGCCCGUCACACCAUGGGAGUGGGUUGCAAAAGAAGUAGGUAGCUUAACCUUCGGGAGGGCGCUUACCACUUUGUGAUUCAUGACUGGGGUG